GUAGAGCGGCGAACGGGUGAGUAACACGUGGGUAACCUGCCUUGGAAAGGGGAAUAACUUGGGGAAACCCGAGCUAAUGCCGCAUAAGCUCGCUGGAACUUCGGUGCCGGCGAGGAAAGGUGGCCUAUUCUUGAAAGCUGCCGUUCCAAGAGGGGCCCGCGUCCGAUUAGCUAGUUGGUGGGGUAAUGGCUCACCAAGGCGACGAUCGGUAGCCGGCCUGAGAGGGUGAUCGGCCACACUGGAACUGAGACACGGUCCAGACCGCUACGGUGGGCAGCAGUACGGGAUAUUGCGCAAUGGGGGAAACCCUGACGCAGCAACGCCGCGUGGAGGAAGAAGGUUUUCGAAUCGUAAACUCCUGUCCGGAGGGAAGAAAAAAAUGACGGUACCUCUGGAGGAAGCCCCGGCUAACUCCGUGCCAGCAGCCGCGGUAAUACGGGGGGGGCUAGCGUUGUUCGGAUUUACUGGGCGUAAAGGGCGCGUAGGCGGUGGGAGAAGUUUUGGGUGAAAGCCCCCGGCUCAACCGGGGAAGUGCCUGGAAAACCAUCUGACUAGAGUGCUGGAGAGGCAAGCGGAAUUUCUGGUGUAGCGGUGAAAUGCGUAGAUAUCAGAAGGAACAUCGGAGGCGAAGGCGGCUUGCUGGACAGACACUGACGCUGAGGCGCGAAAGCUAGGGGAGCAAACGGGAUUAGAUACCCCGGUAGUCCUAGCCGUAAACGAUGGGUACUUGGUGUAGGGGGUUUUUGAAGUCCCUCUGUGCCGGCGAUAACUCGUUAAGUACCCCGCCU
rnacentral:rRNA from 1 species